GACGAACGCUGGCGGCGUGCCUAAUACAUGCAAGUUGAGCGAUGAAGAUUGGUGCUUGCACCAAUUUGAAGAGCAGCGAACGGGUGAGUAACGCGUGGGGAAUCUGCCUUUGAGCGGGGGACAACAUUUGGAAACGAAUGCUAAUACCGCAUAACAACUUUAAACAUAAGUUUUAAGUUUGAAAGAUGCAAUUGCAUUACUCAAAGAUGAUCCCGCGUUGUAUUAGCUAGUUGGUGAGGUAAAGGCUCACCAAGGCGAUGAUACACAGCCGACCUGAGAGGGUGAUCGGCCACAUUGGGACUGAGACACGGCCCAAACUCCUACGGGAGGCAGCAGUAGGGAAUCUUCGGCAAUGGACGAAAGUCUGACCGAGCAACGCCGCGUGAGUGAAGAAGGUUUUCGGAUCGUAAAACUCUGUUGGUAGAGAAGAACGUUGGUGAGAGUGGAAAGCUCAUCAAGUGACGGUAACUACCCAGAAAGGGACGGCUAACUACGUG
rnacentral:rRNA from 1 species